rnacentral:rRNA from 1 species
AAGGAUCAUUACCGAGUGAGGGCCCUCUGGGUCCAACCUCCCACCCGUGUUUAUUUUACCUUGUUGCUUCGGCGGGCCCGCCUUAACUGGCCGCCGGGGGGCUCACGCCCCCGGGCCCGCGCCCGCCGAAGACACCCUCGAACUCUGUCUGAAGAUUGAAGUCUGAGUGAAAAUAUAAAUUAUUUAAAACUUUCAACAACGGAUCUCUUGGUUCCGGCAUCGAUGAAGAACGCAGCGAAAUGCGAUACGUAAUGUGAAUUGCAAAUUCAGUGAAUCAUCGAGUCUUUGAACGCACAUUGCGCCCCCUGGUAUUCCGGGGGGCAUGCCUGUCCGAGCGUCAUUGCUGCCCUCAAGCCCGGCUUGUGUGUUGGGCCCCGUCCUCCGAUUUCCGGGGGACGGGCCCGAAAGGCAGCGGCGGCACCGCGUCCGGUCCUCGAGCGUAUGGGGCUUUGUCACCCGCUCUGUAGGCCCGGCCGGCGCUUGCCGAUCAACCCAAAUUUUUAUCCAGGUUGACCUCGGAUCAGGUAGGGAUACCCGCUGAACUUAA